rnacentral:rRNA from 1 species
UACGGAGGGGGCUAGCGUUGUUCGGAAUUACUGGGCGUAAAGCGCGCGCAGGCGGCCCUUUAAGUCUGACGGUGAAAUGCCGGGGCUCAACCCCGUGCCCGCCGCGGAUACUGGAGGGCUGGAGACACGUAGAGGCAAGCGGAAUUCCGGGUGUAGCGGUGGAAUGCGUAGAGAUCCGGAAGAACACCGGAGGCGAAGGCGGCUUGCUGGGCGUAGUCUGACGCUGAGGCGCGAAAGCGUGGGGAGCGAACAGG